rnacentral:lncRNA from 1 species
GCUAUUUCUUGGGCCGCUCCCACGGCAUAUGGAGUUUCCUAGGCUAGGGGUCUAAUCGGAGCUGUAGCUGCCAGCCUAUGCCAGAGCCACAGCAACUCGGGAUCCGAGCCGCGUCUGCAACCUACACCACAGCUCACGGCAAUGCCGGAUCCUUAACCCACUGAGCAAGGGCAGGGAUCGAACCUGCAACCUCAUGGUUCCUAGUCGGAUUCGUUAACCACUGAGCCACGACGGGAACUCCACUAUCUUCUUUUUGAACUCAGUGUCUGUUAGACUGCAAAGGUCUUUUUCAUUAUUUGCUUCUUCAAGGAAAUUCUCCUGUUCUUUUAACUGGAAUGGUUCCUGAGCUUUUUCAUUUUUCUUAUUCUGUGAAUUUAGGAAAACAACUAAUGUAGUCUUGGAGGACUAUUUAUAUGCCAGAGAACCCCUGUGUGUUUUGUGAGGGCUUACUAUUUAUUUUUGUCAUGAGGGCUGCUUUGGUAUCUCUUUCCUCAGUGUAUUCAGGCUUUUAUCCCCUUGACAGGGUGCUGCACAUGCCUCCAGUGAGAUGGAAGCAAUAGGCAGUGCUAGUAGCUAGUGCCUGUUUGCUGGGUCUUUGACAGUGGCAGAAAUCUGUAGGGAGUUGGUAUAGGCUGCUCCUUGAUAUUGAGGCAAGUAUAGGCAGCACGCAGAGCAUAUGGCAGUGGCAGCAGCAGGAGGUAUGCAUUUUCAGGGGAGGGAGAGCAGCAACAGAUGGUUCACAGUUGCAGUGCCCUGUUCUGUACUGAUUUCUGAGGUAACUGGGGCCACAAAUGGUUCCUGUUCAUGGAGGCUUAGUGGUGGUGGUCCAUACCAACCUCUGGUGUCUGAGAUGACUGCCAUGGUUUGCCCCUGCCAUCUGUAGACCACACAAGAGGUGCCAUAUCACCCUUAGCCCCCCCACUGCCCUUAGGUCUCAGAACAGGUGCCUCAUCUCUUGUAGCUUGUGCAAGUUACACCUCACAAUCCAUAUCCUGUUCCAGGGGUUCCCUGACCUCUGAGAGUCUGUGCAUGCACAGAGAAAGAUAAUACAAUGACAGUCCUCCCCUCCUCCUCCUUCCCUCCCCAAAAAUGGCACCUUGCUACUCCUGCAGGCCCAGAUGUCCUCCCAGUCUCCCUUGGCUGUGGGCUCAAUUCCUAGCCUAUUAUGCACUCCUCCCCAGCCCCUCAAGCUGUCUCCAUACAGCCAACUCUAGUCUUCUUCCCGGAAUCAAGCUUCAGAUCCUGAGUCUCAGCACCCAGCCCAUGCCUGAGCAUCUCAGACUAUGGUAUCUGGGGUCAGUGAUACUGAUGGUCCAUGCAGCUCUCACUCUGCUUUGCCUUCCUCAGUCAAGCUGCUGCAAUUUUCUUCAAGACUUUGAGGUCCCUCCGUCUCAGCUGAUCUCCCUGUCAGUUAGGUGGCUUCCCAGGCUGUGGGUUCCUUUCCUCUUUCACAGCUCCCUCUCAGCAGUGUUAUUCCUGUCCUGAUUCCUUUACUCUUUCUCUCUCUUUCUUUUUGUUCUACCCAGUUAUUGGUAGUGUUUCUUGCCCUUUUUGGAGUUUUAAGGUCUUCUGCCAGCAUUCAGUAGAUGUUCUGUGUAAAUCAUUCUACCUGUAGAUUAUUUUUUGAUGUGUUUGUAGGAUAAGGUUAGCACCAUGUCUUACUCCUCCACCAUCUUGAUCACUUCUGAGGAUCCAGGUUUUAAGAGAGAUUAAUACAAUGAUAUGGAUGCAGUGGGUAAAGGCCAUUUUUAGAAGAAAAAAAAAGUGUGUGUGUAAAAAUAGAAUUAUAACUUUGGUGGAAAAUAAUUCUUCUAUUUUUGAUGAUAAAGAGUUUUUAUCUUAAAAAUAAAAACAGAGUAGUAAUUACAUAAGACAAUGGGGUUAAUGUAACAUUUCUAUCUCUAUGUUAGUGAAUUAAAAAAAAAACACAAAAAAAACCUAAGUGUGUGCUUUUUGCAUUUGGUUAUAACGUAGGGGUAAAGAGAAUUGAGCUCAUUGGCACCCCAGGGUGAUAUGGGUGUAUAACCCAAUAUUCACCCUCUUAUUUUCCACUAAGACUAAGUAUUGCCACCCACACUUUUUCCCAACUCUGGGGAAAACAUAUUUUCAUAGUUCUGAUGGUACUACUUAAAAAAAAACUUUGUGAAUGUUCUAGCUGUUUCUGUCACCUCAAAGAUCUUCUAUUUGCCUCUGUUUUCAAGUUUCAGUGAAAACAGGUGGUACAGGGAAAGAAAUAGGUAAAUGCUGAUGUGUAUAAUGAAUACUACAGAAAUACAAAUAGUCAUUUGCAACCAGGCUCCAAUAUUUUAAAUUGCUUCAUUAAUUCAUGACUUUGCAUGUCUAUACAUAUCAAAUGUAUUUUUGUAUUUAUUUUUUAGAAUAUUUUCAUAGCAGCUUCUCUCUGCAGUGCUUAGUGGUAAGGAUCUCAAAAUAGCAACCUGUCCAUAUGAGGACCCAGGGAAAACCUAACACUGUUGGCAAAGUCUCAUGUUCCCCUUCUUUCUCAUACCUUCACUUUUCUUCUCUUUGUAUUUCCCUGACUACUUUUUCAGGCAUAAUCUCUGAGUCUUUCAAUCUCUGCCUGUUCCCAUUCCUUUCCUCAGCAUGACUAAAUUAUUAAUGUACAGAAUCCCCUAACCUCAGAUGAAACAUUUCUAUGGCCUGUCAUUAAUCAGGUCAUAUUUUAUCAGCAACAGUGGGUAGUAUCCAAGAAUGUGAGAAAUUCAUAAAGAGGCUAACUUCAGUUCAACUUGAGUUUUAUAUGUGGAGCCUCCAGAGAUUUCACGGCUUUUUUUCAUUUCAAAAUAUAUGUGUUUCACAUGACUACUAAUCUUCAAAUGCAACUUACUGGCACCUGUUUGUUCAAAUUCAUUUGUUGCUCAAGCACCUCAAUAUUUUUUCUUAUUUUCCAAUCUUCCAACCAUCUGUAUGCCACUGGUCCUAAAUUUUAAUAUUUGCAAUAAUCCUGUCUCAUGUCUAUAUAUAUUUUAUAUGGUACUAUUUGAUUUUUAAAAAUCCUUAGCAUUGUAACUUAAAUAACAACUUAAACUGUAUUACAUUAAUUCACAUUAAAGAAUCUCAUACAGACUUUAUAAUUUGUAGGAAAUAUUUUAAACACUUUAUCUGGGAAAUUUAAAUUGUUUGAUAAAUAUCCUUAUAUCCACCUUCACAUAUUAUUUAUCUUGAAAGCAAAUUGCCUUGAGGUGUU